GGCGUCCUUACGUUGUUGUUAUUUUGCUGAAUUCUUGUGUGAAAUUUGUAGGAAAUCCUCAUCAAAAUCAUAGUUGAUUAUUCAAGAAGUGUUCAAUGGCGGGUCAGUGGAGUCAGACUCGGUGGAAUUUUGAACGAUCUUUCCCGCUUAUACAUACUACAUAAAAAAACUUUAUUGGACUGUCUAAUCCUUGCGACAAACCCAAAAGUGUAUCUCGAGUGUUUGCUAUGACACGCUAAGAAGAUUGUUUCUUUGUCUGGUCUAAUCUGGCAGGGUAUUCUUUAAUAAUUUAGCAUAGGCUCAAUACAAGGAAAAUAUGGGGAUAACAUUAAAAAAUCUUCACCUAUAAAACCUCUGCAGCAUAUUUAUGGUCAAUAGCUACCGGCCCAGUGGGAGCAGUGGAAGAAAGAAAGGUUGAAUUUUCUCCAAUAGUUUGCCCACUCGGGGAUUGACAGUAAAUAGAUUUCAAAAGUGAUUUUGCAGCUUUAUUUAUUCAAAUCAAUACGUUUCAGAUUUA